rnacentral:pre_miRNA from 1 species
UACAUACUCCCUCCGUUUGGAAUUACUCGUCCAAGAAAUGAAUGUAUCUAGAUGUAUUUUAGUUGUAGAUACAUCCAUUUUUGUGACAAGUAAUUCCGAACGGAGGGAGUACUAC